rnacentral:rRNA from 1 species
UACGUAGGGUGCGAGCGUUGUCCGGAUUUAUUGGGCGUAAAGGGUGCGUAGGCGGUCCUAUAAGUAUGGUGUGAAAGCCCUUGGCUUAACCGAGGAAGUGCAUCCGAAACUGGCGAGCUAGAGUACGAAAGAGGAUCGCGGAAUUCCCGGUGUAGAGGUGAAAUUCGUAGAUAUCGGGAGGAACACCGGUGGCGAAGGCGGCGAUCUGGGUCGAUACUGACGCUGAGGUGCGAAAGCGUGGGGAGCAAACAGG